GACGAACGCUGGCGGCGUGCUUAACACAUGCAAGUCGAACGGAAAGGCCCUGCUUUUGUGGGGUGCUCGAGUGGCGAACGGGUGCGUAACACGUGAGUAACCUGCCCUUGACUUUGGGAUAACUUCAGGAAACUGGGGCUAAUACCGGAUAGGAGCUCCUGCUGCAUGGUGGGGGUUGGAAAGUUUCGGCGGUUGGGGAUGGACUCGCGGCUUAUCAGCUUGUUGGUGGGGUAGUGGCUUACCAAGGCUUUGACGGGUAGCCGGCCUGAGAGGGUGACCGGCAACAUUGGGACUGAGAUACGGCCCAGACUCCUACGGGAGGCAGCAGUGGGGAAUAUUGCACAAUGGGCGGAAGCCUGAUGCAGCAACGCCGCGUGCGGGAUGACGGCCUUCGGGUUGUAAACCGCUUUCGCCUGUGACGAAGCGUGAGUGACGGUAAUGGGUAAAGAAGCACCGGCUAACUACGUG
rnacentral:rRNA from 1 species